rnacentral:rRNA from 1 species
AUUGAACGCUGGCGGCAUGCCUUACACAUGCAAGUCGAACGGCAGCACGGGGCAACCUGGUGGCGAGUGGCGAACGGGUGAGUAAUGCAUCGGAACGUACCUUUCAGUAGGGGAUAACGUAGCGAAAGUUACGCUAAUACCGCAUAUUCUGUGAGCAGGAAAGCAGGGGAUCGCAAGACCUUGCGCUGAUUGAGCGGCCGAUGUCAGAUUAGCUAGUUGGUGAGGUAAAGGCUCACCAAGGCGACGAUCUGUAGCGGGUCUGAGAGGAUGAUCCGCCAGACUGGACCUGAGACACGGUCCAGACUCCUACGGGAGGCAGCAGUGGGGAAUUUUGGACAAUGGGGGCAACCCUGAUCCAGCCAUGCCGCGUGAGUGAAGAAGGCCUUCGGGUUGUAAAGCUCUUUCGGCCGGGAAGAAAUCGCACGGGCUAAUACCCUGUGUGGAUGACGGUACCGGAAUAAGAAGCACCGGCUAACUACGUGCCAGCCGCCGCGGUAAUAC